rnacentral:lncRNA from 1 species
AAUAAACAUAUAUUUGUUUUUAUUAUGUAGGAUUUUAAAAACUUGUAGAAGUUGUAUACGACAGUUUUCCCCUUUUAUUUUGUUUUUGUUUUGAAUAGACAAUUUAAUAUAAAAAAAAAAAACGUAUUUGUUUUAAAUAGAUAAUUUGAUAUAAAAAAGAACGUAUUGAUUUAUAUACGUAGAAAUUGUGAAAACUUAAUUUUGCUAGGCUUAGAUAACUUUUGAACUUAAGGCGAGCUAACAAACUGUCAAUUAUCUGAUUGAUAAAUAAAAAAAAAAUAGGAAAUUAAGGGGAAGUAAACAAGUUUUAGUUUGUCCAAAUUGGGAUAAAUUUAUCAGUGGGGUUUAGGUGCCAUCUUCAUUGGAAUAGCCAUAUUUUUGUACUGUUAAUUAAUUAAGAAUAUAUCUUGGUUAGCCAAAAAGAAUGUUGUGAGUUCUGGUUCUAAUGCCACGAACAAUUUGGUAAAAACAAAUGGUGUCUUCGCAAUUGGAAUAGAUGUUACUGACAACAGAGAGAUGUUUUCCUCCGUGCCAUUGGUCAAGGACAAAACUUAACCGAAUGUCGAUGUUAACAGCCUCUUAAGAAGGACGAACCAAAUAGCUAGAUGCGUCAAAUACUACGUAAUGGAGAUGAUGAUGACGACACUUGUACAAAGAUGUGCGCCCUUUCCAGCAGUUGAUGAACUUUAUACUUUGAUGGUGACGGAAAUAAAACAUGAACUAUGUAUAUCGAACUAUUUUCAAAUGAACUAUGUGUAAAUAUAUUCAGAUGUUGGACUUGCCGAAUUUUAUGAACUAUAUAUGUGGUGAUGGUUACCAAAAAACUUAACAAUGGAACUACUGGAUUUACAAUAGCAUAAAUGAAGAAGGAUUAUCGUAUUUUCCGAACUUUCGUUCUUAUUGCGAGGGAAGGAAUAAUGUUACACAAUUGGUAACAUUAAUUAAUUAUCAAGGAGUAUUAAUUAGGAAAUUUAUUAAAAAGGAAAUAAACAAUUCAAUGACAAUCAUGUAUGCUUUGGACACUAAUAACCAUCUGUGAAUACAUUAAAUAGCAGAAAGCCUUUGGACACUAAUAACCAUCUGUGAAUACAUUAAAUAGCAGAAAGCCUUUGGACACUAAUAACAAUCUGUUCGUAUACUAUGGACAUAUAUACCCCGAAGCCCAUAAAUGACCAUGUUUACUUUAAAAUAACAUUUAUCCGUCAGGGGUUAAUUACAUUAUUUGACAAUUAACCUCAUGUAAAUAGUACUCGAUAACCAGACGAUUAUACAACCGGCCUACAGCUAUAGGCAGGUGUAUGGACCAUUGGACUAUAUAAGAUACCUCUUUGGACUUGAAGGACAGCUUGUACAAAGAUUGGUACAAGCUAUUGGUACCGGAGAUUCCGCCAAGGUCUUCCCCAUCGUGGGUAGGCUGGAAAUCAUGCGCUUAAUAUCCGAACGUAAUCCAUAAGGACUGAACAUUUAUAAAACUAUACGAUCACGUGCC